AAACUACGUCACAAUAAACUAUCGAGGUGAAUGCCGAAAGCCUGCCCCUGAAGUGAAAUAAUGGAGGUCAGACUGCCAGCAAACACCAGGGAUCAGCUGUGACCAAAGGGCGAAUAAAGGAAGAGUUGAUGUUGAGCAUCGGGGAGCUGUUGAGUCCCCAAGACUGCUGGAGCUGCCUUAAUCCCCUUCUGCAGUGAAUGGGGCUGUCCUUGCUCAGGUGGAGGGCAAAGGGCUGUGGGGACUCAGCCGUGUCUUCCCAGGUCUGCCCGACGUGUGCCGGUGCGGUCUCUGCCGCCUCACUGUGUCUUAGUGUGCUUCUACAAUAAAGUUAACUCAGCAGCUUCAUGUCACUUUUCUUC